rnacentral:lncRNA from 1 species
CACAUGACAAAGUGCUGUGGAGAGUAGUGCUCGAGCUUGAAGCUAGCCAGCACGGAUGGUCAGCUGAUCUUAUUUUCUUUUUCUCCAGGCCUUGGUCAGGUGAUCCAUGGUGACUGAUCUGCCUACCAAGAAGGUACCUCAGCAGCCAGGUUUCUGUGUUGCAAUGAAGUAUUCUUCUCCCAGCAAGCACAACAGGCAGAAUCCGGCUGAACUUCAGUCACACUUGCACAGCCAAGCUACCGAAAUUCAGACGCUACUGCCAGCAGUGCAGUGAUGCACCUUCCUGUGUUCCAUUUGGACAAAAGUCCCAUAAGAUAUACUGACUUUACAAAAAAAAAAAAAAAAUCUCAGCAAUGAGGUCAACAAUGCAAGCACAUCUUUUCCUGUUAGGCACCAGCUGCUAUCAUUUUUGAGC